GCCGUUUGUGUGCCAUCCUUGCGGAGCUGCCAGCCACAGACGGCACUGGACCGGGCCAGAUUUGAUCCAAGUCCGUGUUGCUCACUCGAGCCACUCAUUACCGGGAGCUGGGGAUGUGUGGGCCCUUGAGCAUUCCUUCCAAGAACCCAGCACCUUCUGCACUUUCUGCCUGAGGCCAGGUUUGAGCCAUGUAGCCAUGUUAUUAUAGUGAAUCAUUACGAAGGGGCAGAGAGCAAAUGGAAAAUGUUCAUCUAGGACAGAAGUCAAAAGGCACAUUUGCUUAUUCUUGUGGAAUAUGUUAAUGAUUGUGAAUCAGCCACAAUGUGUAAUCUUGCUCUGUGUACUGUGCUGUAUUUUGUGCAGCUAUUUAUAAAUGAUCUAGUUGCAUUGCUAUGAAUAUGCCAAAUAAAUAUGAAAAAUGACACAUGAUUGAUGACUGGCUAACAGACGUCCAACGCUGACUGAAAACCUGCUGAUGAACCUGUCUGCCUGCCACCCAUCACCAGGCCAGUGGACGUCAAAUGUCAAAUGCGUCUUUGAGGCAACAUUACGGAGAGGUUCCUAUUGUUUGGGGAAUGAUCACCUGCAAGGUAAUUUAACCCAAGACUCCAAGCCAUAAACACAUCUGUCAGCCUGUCUCUACAACACCACAACUCCAACAACGCUUGGUAUAGUUUGCCAACUGCUGCUACCAUAUUUCUUUGUUGUGUGAAUAUCAUUAAAGUACACCCUGCCUCAGUGUGACCCCAG